AACGAACGCUGGCGGUAGGCCUAACACAUGCAAGUCGAACGGCAGCACAGGAGAGCUUGCUCUCUGGGUGGCGAGUGGCGGACGGGUGAGGAAUACAUCGGAAUCUACCUUUUCGUGGGGGAUAACGUAGGGAAACUUACGCUAAUACCGCAUACGACCUACGGGUGAAAGUGGGGGACCGCAAGGCCUCACGCGAUUAGAUGCGCCGAUGUCCGGUUAGCAAGUUGGCGGGGUAAUGGCCCACCAAGGCGACGAUCGGUAGCUGGUCUGAGAGGAUGAUCAGCCACACUGGAACUGAGACACGGUCCAGACUCCUACGGGAGGCAGCAGUGGGGAAUAUUGGACAAUGGGCGCAAGCCUGAUCCAGCCAUACCGCGUGGGUGAAGAAGGCCUUCGGGUUGUAAAGCCCUUUUGUUGGGAAAGAAAUCCUGUCGAUUAAUACUCGGUGGGGAUGACGGUACCCAAAGAAUAAGCACCGGCUAACUUCGUGCCAGCCGCCGCCGUAA
rnacentral:rRNA from 1 species